AGUUAUGCCUGAGUUACAGAAAGACACCUACAGGCAGCAGGUAGUUAAAGCAAAACCAGUUUCUCUUCCUACUAAAUCUACUCCAUAUAGCUGAAUAAAUUAUGGUGCGGCUCCGUAUUUACAGACCCGGCGCGCGGCCCGGAGCAGACGGCGAUGAGGCGAACACAGAAGCGACAAUCCCGCAGGAAGGGGGGUCAGGGGAAGCCCUACAGCGCUAGGGGGGCCCGCGGGUGCCGGGGGAGCGGGUUAGAAGCGUUAAAUACACGAAGGACCCGAUCUGCUGCGGCCGUGCGCGGCGGGGCGGGGCUGCGGGGACCACGGAGCCCCCGCGGGGUCGGUGCUGUCCCCCGGGGGUGGCAGGGGACACCGGCUGGCCUGGGAGAGCCGUGGGGCUGGGAGAGCGUCCCUGGGGGUGGCCGACUCUGGCUGUGUCCACCCCUGGCUGUGUCCAUUUCCACUGUGGCCACCUCUGGCUCUGUCCACCUCGGGCUGUGUUCCUCUCUGCUGUGUCCAUCCCUGGCUCUGCCCACCUCUGCUGUGGCCACCUCUGGCUGUGUCCAUCUCUGCUGUGUCCAUCUCUGCUGUGUCCACAUCUGGCUGUGUCCAUCUCUGCUGUGUCCACCCCUGCCUGUGUCCAUCUCUGGAGCGUGCCCGCCUCUGGCUCUGUUCACCUCUGGCCGUGUCCAUCUCUGCUUUGGUCAUCUCUGACACGUCCAUCUCUGCCGUGUCCGUGUGUCCAUCUCUGACACGUCCAUCCCUGGCCGUGUCCGUCUGUCCAUCUCCGACACGUCCAUCCCUGGCCGUGUCUGUGUGUCCAUCUCUGACAUGUCCAUCUCUGCUGUGUCCGUGUGUCCAUCUCUGACACGUCCAUCCCUGGCCGUGUCCGUGUGUCCAUCUCCGCCGUGUCCACCUCUGGCCGUGUCCCUUGGUCACUGUUGCUCUGGACGAGGCUUUGGGUGAUUUUUGGUCCCCCAGAGUCAGCAGCAGCUGAGGAUCCACUCGGUCAUUCUUGGGUGGCCCCAGGUGGCCACAGCCGGGUUCUCACGGUCCAGCUCUCCAGGAUUGGUCCCUGUUGGUGGCCCCAGGUGGCCCCAGUUGGCCACAGCCAGGUUCUCACGGUCCAGCUCUCCAGGAUUGGUCCCUGUUGGUGGCCCCAGUUGGCCACAGCCAGGUUCUCACGGUCCAGCUCUCCAGGAUUGGUCCCUGUUGGUGGCCCCAGUUGGCCACAGCCAGGUUCUCACGGUCCAGCUCUCCAGGAUUGGUCCCUGUUGGUGGCCCCAGUUGGCCACAGCCAGGUUCUCACGGUCCAGCUCUCCAGGAUUGGUCCCUGUUGGUGGCCCCAGUUGGCCACAGCCAGGUUCUCACGGUCCAGCUCUCCAGGAUUGGUCCCUGUUGGUGGCCCCAGUUGGCCACAGCCAGGUUCUCACGGUCCAGCUCUCCAGGAUUGGUCCCUGUUGGUGGCCCCAGUUGGCCACAGCCAGGUUCUCACGGUCCAGCUCUCCAGGAUUGGUCCCUGUUGGUGGCCCCAGUUGGCCACAGCCAGGUUCUCACGGUCCAGCUCUCCAGGAUUGGUCCCUGUUGGUGGCCCCAGUUGGCCACAGCCAGGUUCUCACGGUCCAGCUCUCCAGGAUUGGUCCCUGUUGGUGGCCCCAGUUGGCCACAGCCAGGUUCUCACGGUCCAGCUCUCCAGGAUUGGUCCCUGUUGGUGGCCCCAGUUGGCCACAGCCAGGUUCUCACGGUCCAGCUCUCCAGGAUUGGUCCCUGUUGGUGGCCCCAGUUGGCCACAGCCAGGUUCUCACGGUCCAGCUCUCCAGGAUUGGUCCCUGUUGGUGGCCCCAGUUGGCCACAGCCAGGUUCUCACGGUCCAGCUCUCCAGGAUUGGUCCCUGUUGGUGGCCCCAGUUGGCCACAGCCAGGUUCUCACGGUCCAGCUCUCCAGGAUUGGUCCCUGUUGGUGGCCCCAGUUGGCCACAGCCAGGUUCUCACGGUCCAGCUCUCCAGGAUUGGUCCCUGUUGGUGGCCCCAGUUGGCCACAGCCAGGUUCUCACGGUCCAGCUCUCCAGGAUUGGUCCCUGUUGGUGGCCCCAGUUGGCCACAGCCAGGUUCUCACGGUCCAGCUCUCCAGGAUUGGUCCCUGUUGGUGGCCCCAGUUGGCCACAGCCAGGUUCUCACGGUCCAGCUCUCCAGGAUUGGUCCCUGUUGGUGGCCCCAGUUGGCCACAGCCAGGUUCUCACGGUCCAGCUCUCCAGGAUUGGUCCCUGUUGGUGGCCCCAGUUGGCCACAGCCAGGUUCUCACGGUCCAGCUCUCCAGGAUUGGUCCACAGCACAUGACCAAAUUUCCCAACUAAAUGUACAAAGUGCGACCACGAGGGGAAGGUCAGAGAAGAGCUAUUUUGUUCCUCUAGGAAUUCUAUUUACAGCAGUGCCCGGCUGCCCACGGACUGUCAGGGGAAGGGGAUGGGCAGAGAGGUUUCUGCAGUGCUCCCCCUUUUUUAUUUUGGGGUUUUUUUUGGGGGGUCCUGCCCUCGGGUGAGGCGGCCACGCCCGGCUGUCCAUGGGUGAGGAGGGGAGAUAAGAGAGGAGAUGGGAGCAGGAGCAGCAGCCAAGGGAUCCCAUGGAAUGGUGGAAAGUUCCCUUGAGGCUGAGCAGGCGGCCAGGAGGGAGCUGGGAUGGGAACCACAGCCAGGUUCUCACAGUCCAGUUCUCCAGGAUUGGUCCCUGUUGGUGGCCCCAGGUGGCCCCAGGUGGCCACAGCCAGCUUGCCAGUCCGACUGUCCUCGCUCUGUCCUGUCCCAGCUCCAGGCCCUCCCUCAGCCGUGUCCCCUCCCUGUCCCACCCCACCCCCCGAGUUUGUCUCUCGUCAGCAGAGCUGAGGUUGGCAAUCCAUGGAACAAAACUGAACCAACAGAACGAAACCAAAAGUUACUUUUGACUUUCAUACAUGAACAAAAGGAAGAAACAAAACAAGACCGGGGGGGGGGGGGGGGGGGGG
rnacentral:lncRNA from 12 species